GUCGGCCCCUAAGGCGAGGCUGAAAAGCGUAGUCGAUGGGAAACGGGUUAAUAUUCCCGUACUUGGUAAAGCUGCGAUGUGGGGACGGAGAAGGUUAGGUAAGCGGACUGUUGGAUAUGUUCGUUUAAGCAGGUAGUUGGAAAGGGUAGGCAAAUCCGCUCUUUCAUACAACAACGAGACGUGAUGACGAGGCUCUACGGAGCUGAAGUUACCGAUACCCAGCUUCCAGGAAAAGCCACUAAGCGAAAGGCUUUACUAAACCGUACUGAAAACCGACACAGGUGGUCAGGUAGAGAAUACUCAGGCGCUUGAGAGAACUCG
rnacentral:rRNA from 1 species